UACAGCCAUAUCAUGUUGAAUCACCGGUUCUCGUACGAUCGCCGAAGUUAAGCAACGCCGAGCUUGGUUACUACUUAGAUGUGUGACCCCUUACGAAUACCAGGUAC